GACGAACGCUGGCGGCGUGCUUAACACAUGCAAGUCGAACGGUAAGGCCCUUCGGGGUACACGAGUGGCGAACGGGUGAGUAACACGUGGGUGAUCUGCCCUGCACUUCGGGAUAAGCCUGGGAAACUGGGUCUAAUACCGGAUAGGACCCUGAGAUGCAUGUCCUGGGGUGGAAAGCUUUUGCGGUGUGGGAUGGGCCCGCGGCGCAUUAGCUAGUUGGUGAGGUAACGGCUCACCAAGGCGACGAUGCGUAGCCGACCUGAGAGGGGGAUCGGCCACAUUGGGACUGAGACACGGGCCAGACUCCUACGGGGGGCAGCAGUGGGGAAUAUUGGGCAAUGGAGGAAACUCUGACCCAGCGACGCCGCGUGAGGGAUGAAGGCCUUCGGGUUGUAAACCUCUUUCAGCAGGGAAUAAGCGAAAGUGAAGGUACCUGCAGAAGAAGGACCGGCCAACUACGUGCCAGCCGCCGCGGUAA
rnacentral:rRNA from 1 species